CCUACGGGAGGCUGCAGUGGGGAAUCUUGCGCAAUGGGCGAAAGCCUGACGCAGCAACGCCGCGUGCGGGAAGAAGGCCCUCGGGUUGUAAACCGCUUUCAGAAGGCGGUACUUUCAGAAGAAGGUGCGGCCAACUACGUGCCAGCAGCCGCGGUGACACGUAGGCACCAAGCGUUGUCCGGAUUUAUUGGGCGUAAAGAGCUCGUAGGCGGUUCGAUAAGUCGGGUGUGAAAACUUUGGGCUCAACCCAAAGCGUGCAUUCGAUACUGUUGGACUAGAGUUCGGUAGGGGAGUGGGGAAUUCCUAGUGUAGCGGUGAAAUGCGCAGAUAUUAGGAGGAACACCGGUGGCGAAGGCGCCACUCUGGGCCGAACGCGCUGAGGACGAAAGCGUGGGUAGCAAACAGGAUUAGAUACCCUUGUAGUC
rnacentral:rRNA from 1 species